UCCCAGUGCGUGCGUUACAGGCUCGUCUCCUUGCCCUGUCACAGCUGCCAUGCAGGAAGGCUGAGACAAGUCAGACCAGGCCCUGCCUGCCAAGGAUGCACAGCCCGGAGGAGGAUUGCAGCCUGUCUGUUGGUUUCUAUGGGAUGAACCGCUCUGGCUCACAGGACUUGUCUGAAGGUAACUGACCGCCUGUCUCUGCCAAGCUGCCUUUGCUUGUCUGCCUCCAGUGACGGGGAGCUCAUUACCCAACAAGGUAGGCCAUUGUGUCUGUGCAUAGCUCUGACAGUUCGAUGCCCUUCCUUAAAUUGCCUUCUGGGGACUUUCGCUUUCGCUCAGUGGCUCAGAGAGGAGAUAAGGGAGUCACCCCCUUCUGUCUACUGUGUGCCAGGCAUUGGGACCAUAAAGAAGCAUAAAACAGCCCUUC
rnacentral:lncRNA from 12 species